rnacentral:tRNA from 1 species
UGCCCGGUGGUGUAAUGGUAACACAUCUGAUUUUGGUUCAGGUAUUCGAGGUUCGAGUCCUUGCCGGGCAG